GGCGAAUUAGCUCAGUCGGUUAGAGCGACGGAAUCAUAAUCCGCAGGUCCGGGGUUCG
rnacentral:tRNA from 1 species